AAGAGAUUUGUUUAACAUUUGUUUAUUUUUUUUAUAUGACUAUCAUUGUCCACAGAGUUUUUUUUAUUACACCACUUCCCCUCUUUACAUGCAUUGUUAUAUUGACUCAUUGUAAAAUGAUUUCAGGGGUUGGGAGUUAUCUCCCCUUCUCAGUUUGGGAGUUAUCUCCCCUUCUCAGUUUGGGAGUUAUCUCCCUUUCUCAGUUUGGGAGUUGUCUCCCUUUCUCAGUUUGGGAGUUACCUCCUUUUUCAAUUUGGGAGUUAUCUCCCUUUAUCACGUUGGGAGUUAUUUCCCCUCAUUAUCAAAAAAACAAUACUCAGUUAAAGAACAAAUACAUAUUUUGCAGCAAUACAUUUAGUAAUUCAGUUUUAUAGUUUAUAUGAACAGUAUAUUUAAACACAUAGCUAGAUGAUUUAUCUCUUUCAGGGCAAUUCCAUUAAAAUGAGAAUAGGGGUAGAAGAAAGUGAAGUUUGACGAGGG
rnacentral:lncRNA from 1 species